AUGUAGUUGCACUGGUGACUAUAGUGUCCCUUUAAGAUAGGUUUAAGAUUAGAAUUAGGGUCAGUAAGGGAAUCCUUCUGCUGAAAUUACCAAGGGAAUUUAUCUGCUGAUAUUAGCAGAGGAAAUCCUUUUAACGCUAUUUAUAUGGUUAGUGUUAGAAUUAAGGUUAAAAAUAGGGUUAGGCAUGAAAUUAGGGUAUGGUUUCAGAUUAAGGUUAGGUUUAUUAUUAGAUUAAUGGUUAGAUUUGGGAUUAGGAUUUGGUUUAGGAUUAAGACUGGGAAUACAUAUGGAUGGUAUUGUACUUAGGAGAUUUUGCCGAGUACAGUAAGAAUUUUAUUACAAUG